rnacentral:rRNA from 1 species
GAUGAACGCUGGCGGCGUGCCUAAUACAUGCAAGUCGAGCGAACGGACGAGAAGCUUGCUUCUCUGAUGUUAGCGGCGGACGGGUGAGUAACACGUGGAUAACCUACCUAUAAGACUGGGAUAACUUCGGGAAACCGGAGCUAAUACCGGAUGAUAUUUUGAACCGCAUGGUUCAAAAGUGAAAGACGGUCUUGCUGUCACUUAUAGAUGGAUCCGCGCUGCAUUAGCUAGUUGGUAAGGUAACGGCUUACCAAGGCAACGAUGCAUAGCCGACCUGAGAGGGUGAUCGGCCACACUGGAACUGAGACACGGUCCAGACUCCUACGGGAGGCAGCAGUAGGGAAUCUUCCGCAAUGGGCGAAAGCCUGACGGAGCAACGCCGCGUGAGUGAUGAAGGUCUUCGGAUCGUAAAACUCUGUUAUUAGGGAAGAACAUAUGUGUAAGUAACUGUGCACAUCUUGACGGUACCUAAUCAGAAAGCCACGGCUAACUACGUGCCAGCAGCCGCGGUAAUACGUAGGUGGCAAGCGUUAUCCGGAAUUAUGGGCGUAAAGCGCGCGUAGGCGGUUUUUUAGUCUGAUGUGAAAGCCCACGGCUCAACCGUGGAGGGUCAUUGGAAACUGGAAAACUUGAGUGCAGAAGAGGAAAGUGGAAUUCCAUGUGUAGCGGUGAAAUGCGCAGAGAUAUGGAGGAACACCAGUGGCGAAGGCGACUUUCUGGUCUGUAACUGACGCUGAUGUGCGAAAGCGUGGGGAUCAAACAGGAUUAGAUACCCUGGUAGUCCACGCCGUAAACGAUGAGUGCUAAGUGUUAGGGGGUUUCCGCCCCUUAGUGCUGCAGCUAACGCAUUAAGCACUCCGCCUGGGGAGUACGACCGCAAGGUUGAAACUCAAAGGAAUUGACGGGGACCCGCACAAGCGGUGGAGCAUGUGGUUUAAUUCGAAGCAACGCGAAGAACCUUACCAAAUCUUGACAUCCUUUGACACCUCUAGAGAUAGAGCCUUCCCCUUCGGGGGACAAAGUGACAGGUGGUGCAUGGUUGUCGUCAGCUCGUGUCGUGAGAUGUUGGGUUAAGUCCCGCAACGAGCGCAACCCUUAAGCUUAGUUGCCAUCAUUAAGUUGGGCACUCUAAGUUGACUGCCGGUGACAAACCGGAGGAAGGUGGGGAUGACGUCAAAUCAUCAUGCCCCUUAUGAUUUGGGCUACACACGUGCUACAAUGGACAAUACAAAGGGCAGCGAAACCGCGAGGUCAAGCAAAUCCCAUAAAGUUGUUCUCAGUUCGGAUUGUAGUCUGCAACUCGACUACAUGAAGCUGGAAUCGCUAGUAAUCGUAGAUCAGCAUGCUACGGUGAAUACGUUCCCGGGUCU